rnacentral:rRNA from 1 species
GACGAACGCUGGCGGCGUGCCUAAUACAUGCAAGUCGAGCGCAGGAAGUCAUCCGACCCCUUCGGGGGGACGUUGACGGAAUGAGCGGCGGACGGGUGAGUAACACGUAAAGAACCUGCCCUCAGGUCUGGGAUAACCACGAGAAAUCGGGGCUAAUACCGGAUGGGUCAUCGGACCGCAUGGUCCGAGGAUGAAAGGCGCUCCGGCGUCGCCUGGGGAUGGCUUUGCGGUGCAUUAGCUAGUUGGUGGGGUAAUGGCCCACCAAGGCGACGAUGCAUAGCCGACCUGAGAGGGUGAUCGGCCACACUGGGACUGAGACACGGCCCAGACUCCUACGGGAGGCAGCAGUAGGGAAUCUUCCACAAUGGACGAAAGUCUGAUGGAGCAACGCCGCGUGAACGAUGAAGGCCCUCGGGUCGUAAAGUUCUGUUGUAAGGGAAGAACAAGUGCCGCAGGCAAUGGCGGCACCUUGACGGUACCUUGCGAGAAAGCCACGGCUAACUACGUG